GCAACAGCUCUACAAUGAACAAGCAUCUCAUCAAGUGUAAUAGGCAAAGUGGUGUCAUGCCCAUGAACUACCAUAGAUGCUGAGUCACCCACAAGACAUAUAUCAAUUCCAGCCAUAUCUAUAUGAACACCCGAUGGGUAAUCAUAACCCGUCACCAUUGUUAUAGGCUCCCCCUUUUUAUGCUUUUGCCUUAGACUCGUUAGUGUCACUCUUUGAUUUGGGUUUUGGGGUCUGUUAUAGGCUCCCCCUUCUUAUGUUUUUGUCUUAGACUCGUUAGCGUCACUCUUUGAUUUGGGUUUUGGGAUUUUGGCCCACCAUAUACAGUGUUUUCUGGAACAUUACUCAUGUACCUGAAUUUUC
rnacentral:lncRNA from 1 species